UACGUAGGGAGCAAGCGUUGUCCGGAAUCAUUGGGCGUAAAGCGCGCGUAGGCGGCUCUGUAAGUCCGUUGUGAAAGUCAAAGGCUCAACCUUUGAAAGCCGAUGGAUACUGCAGGGCUAGAGUCCGGAAGAGGCGAGUGGAAUUCCUGGUGUAGCGGUGAAAUGCGCAGAUAUCAGGAAGAACACCAAUGGCGAAGGCAGCUCUCUGGGACGGUACUGACGCUGAGACGCGAAAGCGUGGGGAGCGAACAGG
rnacentral:rRNA from 1 species